rnacentral:rRNA from 1 species
CCAGACUCCUACGGGAGGCAGCAGUGGGGAAUAUUGCACAAUGGGGGAAACCCUGAUGCAGCGACGCCGCGUGAGCUAAGAAGUAUUUCGGUAUGUAAAGCUCUAUCAGCAGGGAAGAAAUUGACGGUACCUGAGUAAGAAGCUCCGGCUAAAUACGUGCCAGCAGCCGCGGUAAUACGUAUGGAGCAAGCGUUAUCCGGAUUUACUGGGUGUAAAGGGAGCGUAGGCGGCCUGCCAAGUCUGAUGUGAAAUACCGGGGCUCAACCCCGGAACUGCUUUGGAAACUGAGCAGCUAGAGUGCAGGAGAGGUAAGUGGAAUUCCUAGUGUAGCGGUGAAAUGCGUAGAUAUUAGGAGGAAUACCAGUGGCGAAGGCGGCUUACUGGACUGUAACUGACGUUGAGGCUCGAAAGCGUGGGUAGCAAACAGGAUUAGAUACCCCUGUA